rnacentral:rRNA from 1 species
UACAUGUGGGGCAAGCGUUGUUCGGAAUCACUGGGCGUAAAGGGUGCGUAGGCGGGUCUUUAAGUCAGGGGUGAAAUCCUGGAGCUCAACUCCAGAACUGCCUUUGAUACUGAAGAUCUUGAGUUCGGGAGAGGUGAGUGGAACUGCGAGUGUAGAGGUGAAAUUCGUAGAUAUUCGCAAGAACACCAGUGGCGAAGGCGGCUCACUGGCCCGAUACUGACGCUGAGGCACGAAAGCGUGGGGAGCAAACAGG